rnacentral:rRNA from 1 species
AGGAUGAACGCUGGCGGUCUGCUUAACACAUGCAAGUCGAACGGUGAACCCUCGGGUUCAUAGUGGCGGACGGGUGAGUAACACGUGAGAAUCUGCCUCCAGGUCGGGGACAACAGCGGGAAACUGCUGCUAAUACCCGAUGUGCCUAAGGGUGAAAGAUUAAUUGCCUGGAGAUGAGCUCGCGUCCGAUUAGCUAGUUGGUAGAGUAAAAGCCUACCAAGGCGACGAUCGGUAGCUGGUCUGAGAGGAUGAGCAGCCACACUGGGACUGAGACACGGCCCAGACUCCUACGGGAGGCAGCAGUGGGGAAUUUUCCGCAAUGGGCGAAAGCCUGACGGAGCAAGACCGCGUGGGGGAAGAAGGCUCUUGGGUUGUAAACCCCUUUUCUCAGGGAAGAAGUUCUGACGGUACCUGAGGAAUAAGCAUCGGCUAACUCCGUGCCAGCAGCCGC